CAGAGUGUAGCGCAGCGGUUAGCGCACCUGAUUUAGGUUCAGGGGGUCGUGGGUUCGAAUCCCACCGCUCCUG
rnacentral:tRNA from 1 species